rnacentral:ncRNA from 1 species
AUAAAUUCGUUGAAGAGAAAAAGUAAGUAUAGAUUUGUUCUACAGAGAGUUGGCAUUUUGCUGCAAGCCAAUGUUCAAAAUAUAGCUGAAAAAUCAUCUCUGAGAAGUAAAGGUGAAAAGUUAUUGAGUAAUCUUUACCGGAGGCUCACCGUUAAAAGAGAGGCGUAUUAUAAUGUACGUUUACUAAGUGCUAUAAUAGGUUUAUUUUUUAUAAGCUAAUUUUAUAGAAUUAGGGUGGUAACGCGGUUAACCCCGUCCCUUUG